GGGUUGUGAGGUUAAGCGACUAAGCGUACACGGUGGAUGCCCUGGCAGUCAGAGGCGAUGAAGGACGUGCUAAUCUGCGAAAAGCGUCGGUAAGGUGAUAUGAACCGUUACAGCCGGCGAUGUCCGAAUGGGGAAACCCAGUGUGAUUCGUCACACUAUCGUUAACUGAAUACAUAGGUUAACGAGGCGAACCGGGGGAACUGAAACAUCUAAGUACCCCGAGGAAAAGAAAUCAACCGAGAUUCCCCCAGUAGCGGCGAGCGAACGGGGAGCAGCCCAGAGUCUGAAUCAGCUUGUGUGUUAGUGGAACGGUCUGGAAAGUCCGACGGUACAGGGUGAUAGUCCCGUACACCAAAAUGCACAGGCUGUGAACUCGAAGAGUAGGGCGGGACACGUGGUAUCCUGUCUGAAUAUGGGGGGACCAUCCUCCAAGGCUAAAUACUCCUGACUGACCGAUAGUGAACCAGUACCGUGAGGGAAAGGCGAAAAGAACCCCGGCGAGGGGAGUGAAAAAGAACCUGAAACCGUGUACGUACAAGCAGUGGGAGCACCUUCGGGUGUGACUGCGUACCUUUUGUAUAAUGGGUCAGCGACUUAUAUUCUGUAGCAAGGUUAACCGUAUAGGGGAGCCGCAGGGAAACCGAGUCUUAACUGGGCGUUAAGUUGCAGGGUAUAGACCCGAAACCCGGUGAUCUAGCCAUGGGCAGGUUGAAGGUUGGGUAACACUAACUGGAGGACCGAACCGACUAAUGUUGAAAAAUUAGCGGAUGACUUGUGGCUGGGGGUGAAAGGCCAAUCAAACCGGGAGAUAGCUGGUUCUCCCCGAAAGCUAUUUAGGUAGCGCCUCGUGAAUUCAUCUUCGGGGGGUAGAGCACUGUUUCGGCUAGGGGGUCAUCCCGACUUACCAACCCGAUGCAAACUACGAAUACCGAAGAAUGUUAUCACGGGAGACACACGGCGGGUGCUAACGUCCGUCGUGAAGAGGGAAACAACCCAGACCGCCAGCUAAGGUCCCAAAGUCAUGGUUAAGUGGGAAACGAUGUGGGAAGGCACAGACAGCCAGGAUGUUGGCUUAGAAGCAGCCAUCAUUUAAAGAAAGCGUAAUAGCUCACUGGUCGAGUCGGCCUGCGCGGAAGAUGUAACGGGGCUAAACCAUGCACCGAAGCUGCGGCAGCGACACUAUGUGUUGUUGGGUAGGGGAGCGUUCUGUAAGCCUGCGAAGGUGACCUGUGAGGGUUGCUGGAGGUAUCAGAAGUGCGAAUGCUGACAUAAGUAACGAUAAAGCGGGUGAAAAGCCCGCUCGCCGGAAGACCAAGGGUUCCUGUCCAACGUUAAUCGGGGCAGGGUGAGUCGACCCCUAAGGCGAGGCCGAAAGGCGUAGUCGAUGGGAAACAGGUUAAUAUUCCUGUACUUGGUGUUACUGCGAAGGGGGGACGGAGAAGGCUAUGUUAGCCGGGCGACGGUUGUCCCGGUUUAAGCAUGUAGGCUGGUUGUCCAGGCAAAUCCGGAUAAUCAAGGCUGAGGUGUGAUGACGAGGCACUACGGUGCUGAAGUAACAAAUGCCCUGCUUCCAGGAAAAGCCUCUAAGCAUCAGGUAACAUCAAAUCGUACCCCAAACCGACACAGGUGGUCAGGUAGAGAAUACCAAGGCGCUUGAGAGAACUCGGGUGAAGGAACUAGGCAAAAUGGUGCCGUAACUUCGGGAGAAGGCACGCUGGUGUGUAGGUGAAGUCCCUGCGGAUGGAGCUGAGACCAGUCGAAGAUACCAGCUGGCUGCAACUGUUUAUUAAAAACACAGCACUGUGCAAACACGAAAGUGGACGUAUACGGUGUGACGCCUGCCCGGUGCCGGAAGGUUAAUUGAUGGGGUUAUCCGUAAGGAGAAGCUCUUGAUCGAAGCCCCGGUAAACGGCGGCCGUAACUAUAACGGUCCUAAGGUAGCGAAAUUCCUUGUCGGGUAAGUUCCGACCUGCACGAAUGGCGUAAUGAUGGCCAGGCUGUCUCCACCCGAGACUCAGUGAAAUUGAACUCGCUGUGAAGAUGCAGUGUACCCGCGGCAAGACGGAAAGACCCCGUGAACCUUUACUAUAGCUUGACACUGAACAUUGAGCCUUGAUGUGUAGGAUAGGUGGGAGGCUUUGAAGCGUGGACGCCAGUCUGCGUGGAGCCAACCUUGAAAUACCACCCUUUAAUGUUUGAUGUUCUAACGUUGGCCCCUUACCGGGGUUGCGGACAGUGUCUGGUGGGUAGUUUGACUGGGGCGGUCUCCUCCCAAAGCGUAACGGAGGAGCACGAAGGUUAGCUAAUCCUGGUCGGACAUCAGGAGGUUAGUGCAAUGGCAUAAGCUAGCUUGACUGCGAGCGUGACGGCGCGAGCAGGUGCGAAAGCAGGUCAUAGUGAUCCGGUGGUUCUGAAUGGAAGGGCCAUCGCUCAACGGAUAAAAGGUACUCCGGGGAUAACAGGCUGAUACCGCCCAAGAGUUCAUAUCGACGGCGGUGUUUGGCACCUCGAUGUCGGCUCAUCACAUCCUGGGGCUGAAGUAGGUCCCAAGGGUAUGGCUGUUCGCCAUUUAAAGUGGUACGCGAGCUGGGUUUAGAACGUCGUGAGACAGUUCGGUCCCUAUCUGCCGUGGGCGCUGGAGAAUUGAGGGGGGCUGCUCCUAGUACGAGAGGACCGGAGUGGACGCAUCACUGGUGUUCGGGUUGUCAUGCCAAUGGCACUGCCCGGUAGCUAAAUGCGGAAGAGAUAAGUGCUGAAAGCAUCUAAGCACGAAACUUGCCCCGAGAUGAGUUCUCCCUGAGACUUUAAGUCUCCUGAAGGAACGUUAAAGACGAUGACGUUGAUAGGCCGGGUGUGUAAGCGCAGCGAUGCGUUGAGCUAACCGGUACUAAUGAACCGUGAGGCUUAACCUUACAACGCCGAAG
rnacentral:rRNA from 1 species